rnacentral:rRNA from 1 species
CCUACGGGAGGCAGCAGUGGGGAAUUUUGGACAAUGGGCGAAAGCCUGAUCCAGCAAUGCCGCGUGAGUGAAGAAGGCCUUCGGGUUGUAAAGCUCUUUUGUCAGGGAAGAAACGGUGAGAGCUAAUAUCUUUUGCUAAUGACGGUACCUGAAGAAUAAGCACCGGCUAACUACGUGCCAGCAGCCGCGGUAAUACGUAGGGUGCAAGCGUUAAUCGGAAUUACUGGGCGUAAAGCGUGCGCAGGCGGUUUUGUAAGUCUGAUGUGAAAUCCCCGGGCUCAACCUGGGAAUUGCAUUGGAGACUGCAAGGCUAGAAUCUGGCAGAGGGGGGUAGAAUUCCACGUGUAGCAGUGAAAUGCGUAGAUAUGUGGAGGAACACCGAUGGCGAAGGCAGCCCCCUGGGUCAAGAUUGACGCUCAUGCACGAAAGCGUGGGGAGCAAACAGGAUUAGAUACCCUGGUAGUCCACGCCCUAAACGAUGUCUACUAGUUGUCGGGUCUUAAUUGACUUGGUAACGCAGCUAACGCGUGAAGUAGACCGCCUGGGGAUACGGUCGCAAGAUUAAAACCGUUAAAGGAAUUGACGG